UGUGUUAGCAAGAGGUGGUGUGAAAGCAUGAGUUUCCAUGGGCCUUGAGAAUCCGACCCCAUCAUACCCUCCCUGUUGACUUGUACAAGUCAACAGGUUUAAACUAAUAAAUCUCGUGCGCUCAAAAGUUCAACGUCACUGGCCGUUAGCCACCGCGUCGGCGGCCAUCGCUGGCGGCGAUGGCAUCCAAAACCUAAAUUCUAAUUGCCAAAUUAUGCGCAAAGACGCGCUGGUGACAAGAAUGGGGUCCAUUUGGGGGAAAUAUUCAUGGAUCAACCGAAUCAAGAGGAUCUUGGGAAGAACCCUAGAAUUCUAAGUGUGAAUUAAAUGGCGUUGGUGAUAAAUUAGACUCCUACACUAUGGGGCUUCUGUUUCUCAUACCAAAAUCUCCUAGCAGGUGAGCUCAACGCAAGUAAAUACAAGUGAAGCAAAACUACAUACCGGAGAAGACGAUCAGAACGGUUCGCCGCAUGAACUUGGCAUAACAUGUUUAAACCAGGAUUUAGCCAUGGUACCUUUUUGAUGCAAGCUUGGAAAUUGUUUGGCUUUGAGGUGUGCACACUGUGAUGAAGGUAUAAUACUGCUACUCGCUUGGUCUUGUAAUUCCAUGUUGGAUCAUUCUUCCAGUUCAGCAUAUGGGUAUGUGAACCAAUGCAAUGCUCACGAAUUUAUCCUUGAGGAUUUAGGAACUUACUCAGGUGGUAGCAAGUUUGGUGUUGUAUUUGGUUCAUGUUUCAUGUCAUUACAGCAAGUGUGUUACAGGACUGGUGCAUUACCAAUUGCAGUUUGCAGUGUAACAAGUGUUACAUGCAAGGUCAUGAUGUUCUGAGUUUGGAAAACAUUCAGUAGGUUCUGACUUCAUUGUUAGAAAUAGGUUAAAGCAUCAUGAUUAUCAUGUUCACUGCAGGUUACCAUGUUCCCAUCUUGAGCAUUUUGGUCUGUAGCCAUGGUGUUGGGAAGAUUCUCAAUCUUAAUGUGGGAUUUAGGUGAAACCAGGUUUAUGGUCAAUGUAUUGGAUGCUCAAAAUAGUAGUAAGUCUUGAAAGUUCACUGCCUGGAUGUGGUCUUAUCUUGGCUUAUUGGAGAAUGAUAUGGCCAUGAUGUAGGUUUGCUGUAUUUUGGUAAUAGGUGAAUUGGUUCAUAGAUGCAUUGGUUCUGUUAUGCUUUGGUCUUGACUCGGUCCCAUGGUCUGUUGGAUUAACCAUGCUUUUGGCCUAAUGCAGGACUUAUGGUUUGAAAAUAUGCAGGACUUUCAAUAGGACCAAGUUUCUUGUCCAUUUGGCUUGGUGCAGCAGGGCCUAAAUGCAAGACCUAUAAGAAUUUGUUUGAUGCAGAUGCAGGUUUUGUACCAGCUGGGUGGAUCAAAAUGCUCCAUCAUCCAAAAGUAAGCUAGGGUAAUACACAGAUAUCAAAGUCCAAGGUAAGCUUAGCCAUAUCUCAUGCUUUUGGAUGAUGGAGCAUUAUAAUGCAUCAUUGCCCUGUGUCUGUUUGAGGUUCAUGGCAAUGUGUUAACUGGCUUUACAUGCUGUUGUUGCUGCUUUGUGGCAAGAUCAUGGCUGCUACAAGAAACUUAAGGUCAUGGUGUUGUUCAUGUGAGCUCACGACCAAACCCGAUCAUCCUUGGUCAAUGCAAGUGUAAUAUCUAGUGUGGCUGUAAUGUUUGGUUGUAGCAACUGCAGGGCCUUGCUUAGCAAUGCAGAACCAAUGGUGGACCAAGCUGAAAUGACAAUUCAAGACAAGUUGCACAUGAGGUUAACAUGAGAUAAGCUACUUGGCCAAGAAUAUACAAAGUCAAAAUCAUCACAUAAGACUCUUGGAUGGUGAAUAAAGGAUAAAGUGGAUUAGAUUAGGUUUAAGAGGGUCAAAAGUGGGAAGGUUGACUUCGGUCAAAGUUGACCAAAAAGUCAACAAAAGGUCAAAAUUCAAAAUUCUUUGUAUUUUCUUUAUAAAUGGACAUUGAAUUAGUGGUUAGGGGUGAUUUUAGGGCAUUAGGGAAUUUGGGUUGACUUUGGUCAAAGUUGACCAAAAAGUCAACUAUUGACCAAAGUCAACAAUCGGUCAAAAAUUGUCAAUACUUGCAAUUUUUCAUGUAAAAUUAAUGUGAUGGUUUAGAAUGGUUUGAAAUGGAUUGAUAUGGAUUACAAA